GUUGAUUUGGCUACUUGGAGAUGAAAUGUCUAACACAAAUUACAAACAUAUAUUUCAUAUAGUACUGUAUUGGCCCGAAUAUAAGACGGCCCUGAUUAUAAGACGACCCCCUCUUUUUCAAGACUCAAGUUUGAAAAAAGACUUUUUGAACACCAAAUUAAUUUUUGUACAGAAAAUAAUUACAGUACAUCCGAAACAAAUGAUUAUAACAAUAUAUUUGAGAGAAAAAGCAUGUUAUUUUGCCUCAUUCAAACCUUAAUAUCUGAACAUUUAAAUAUGUAAACUAAAGUGCAAUCACAUUCGUAAAUGAAUGGCUUCUGUUUUUUGAAAUGUAAAUAAACCAAUCUAUUGUGAUAAAACAACAAAAUUGCAAUAACUGCAUUAACCAUCAAAGUGAAGUCUAACUGUAACUUUAGUCUUGAAACAAAUCUGAAUAAGGAAAAACAUUGCAAUAAAAUAAUGCAAACUGGUUAAACUAAAAAGAGUAGCUGAAAUCUGUCAUGACAGAACAUCGCUUCAAUGAUAUCUGGCGCCAUCUAGCGUCGUGAAUGGGUAUAAUGUCUAGACCGCGAAUAUAAGACGACCCCCUCUCUUUUAGUGUUAUUUCAAUGCAAAAAACACCGUCUUAUAUUCGGGCCAAUACGGUAGUUUGAAAAAACAAACAAACCAAAAAAUAACAUGCACAAAUAUAAUUUCUAGAAGGAAGAGGAAAAACAUAUAACCUGGAUUCCUGCACAUACAGUGCUAGUCUGGAGAUGUGCCCCUCUAAGCCAGUGAAUAUUAGUCAGAUUACAUGUUUAUGAACUAUUAUUAAUGCGUGGUUAAAGUACUCUGGCGUUAUGCCAGCAUUCCGGUGUAUGUUAUUAUUUGUAAGACACGAGCACCCAAUUAAGAAAGUUGCAUUUAAAAAAAAAAAGAAUUCGAGCGAGGUGCCGUUCGAGGCAGUGUUUUUUUUGGCAGCACUUUUAUAGUUAACGUAAUGCUUUGGGAUCUCUUCAGAAGAGGAAGUCAAGAUUCACUUUAGGGCAACUUACCACUAAGGGGCAUAAUAGCGCUUACAAGAUUAAUUAAAAGAAUUUACCUUCCCAGGAUGACUUUUCAUACACCUUCAUUAACAGAACGCUCACGCAGGUGAAUUCCCCAACUAUGUACAGUGACGGAUUCCCUCGGAAUUUGUACCCACAAGUCUUUGCGCACACUAAUGGCGUCAAAAAGCAGCAGACUAGAAGACAGGCAGUGCCUCUAGUGAUGCGCAGAGGUGGGUAGAGUGGCCGAAAAUUUUACUCAAAUAAGAGAAGCGUAACUUCAAAAUAAUAUUACUCAAGUAAAAGUAGUCCUCCAAAAAAUGUACUCAUACAAGUGAAGAAAUGAUCCAUGAUCCAAAAUUCCGCGCGUUCCCCUCUUGUGUUAACCCUUUGUACUGACUCCAUGUUCCAAAAGUCUGAAGAAGGCUCACCGAAAACAUGUUGACAAUUUAUUCGUUGACAGUGGUCAAAAAACAUGGCAAAACAGACGACGGAGGGACCCUGCUGGAGCCAAAACAAGGCUACAUUGAAAUGUUUCCGAGCAGCGAACGUUUGUUAUCUCAGUGUCCAGUCUUUUUGAAAGCUGCGGUGGAGUGGGCCGGGCCGAAGGUGUGGCUGGGUGUUGUCUUGGGGUGAUCUCUCUGUGGCCGGUUUUGGGCGGUUAGGUUUGUGUGUCAUCCUUCGUGGCUGGGACGUGAUUGCCACAGCGACUGACGCUAGUCUUGACGUCCCAAGCACUCGCUAUCAACUUGUUAUCCUGGCUAGGCGAGACGCUACUUGUUUUAGGACAGUGUGCCCUGCUCUUUGUCCUUGGAGUGGCCGGGAGAACUGAUUGCGAGAGUUUGUGCCUCAAUCUUGCUCGUGACACACACGUUGGGCUUCUGUGAUAACAUGGCAUUGUGUAUCUAUUCUGCUUCUUCUCAUUAAAUUAUGGUGUGCUAUUUAUUUUAUAUUAGGUGUGUUAGAGUAGUACAAACAAUCCUACAGUACAUAUGAGAAACGAUACUAUUCCCUGAUUGAUUAUAUUAAGUGUGUUAGAGUAAUGCAAACAGUUAUAUGGUGUGUGCGAGAAAGGUAACUAUUCACUUCACAAGUAAAAAAAAGUAUUUGGUGAAAAAAAUACAUUAUGAAUAACUGCUUAUAUUUUUGUUUUUUUAUUCUUUUUUUUAACAAUCGUAUUUUUUUUCUGACCACAAAGUUAUCUAUAAGGACUGUUAUAAUGAUACUGUACAACAACCCAUUACAUAACCACAUGAAGCCAAAGAAAUGAUAAUAAAAAAAAUACAUAAUUGAACCAUUAUUCGUCCAAAGAGCGGUGUGGCAAUAAAACAAUUAUUACCGGUAGAUUAAUCGAGAUUUGACACGUGACGAUUCGAUUGAGAUUCUUAAAUGUUCAAAAACAAUGAUUCCCUAAUAACUUAGAGCUGAAACGAAUACUCGAGCAACUCGAGUAACUCGAGUUUAAAAACUGAUCCGAGUAAUGUUAUUCACCUCGAGUAAUCGUUUAUUUUGACAGCUCUUUUGACAGUUUUUCUCAGACUACUUUUAAUGCGGGACAAACCGCUAAUGUCACGUGCGAAGAGGAAGAAGGAAAGAUAUUUUAUAUUUUUUAUUUUAGGUAAGAUAUAUAUAUAUAUAUAUAUAUUUUUUUUUAAUAAUAUCUAAAAGUUUUUUGAGUGAAAGCAGUGAAUUAGUUUUUUUUUAAUUCUAGUUACAUCUGAGAUGCAAUUGUUGGCUGUUUUCAACAAUAUACAGUGAUACCUCAGCUCACGAACGCUUAAGCUCACGAACUUUUCGCCUCAAGAACAUUAAAUUCUCGAGCAUAUAGUCUCUGCUGACGAACUAGUUUUCGGCGGACGAACCAAUUCACGCGGUCGAAAAGCGCCACGAGAAGCUGACGCACGCUCACGGCGUCCCAGUUCGUCCCCUCACUUACGUUGAGUGCGGACGUGGUUUGUGUUUGAUAGACAUUUUGGACCAUAUUGAGUGUACUUUUGCUAUUAUAGGACCGAAAAAGAGUUGCCUACAGUCCUUAUGGAAGGGGUUUUCAACCCAGUCCUCAAGGCACACUGUGGGUCCUGGUUUUUGUUCCAGCCGAUCCAGCAGAGACAGUUGAACCAAUGAGGCUUCUGCUAAAACAAGCCACACCUGACUGCAAUCAACUGAUUGCACUUGUAAAACACCAGAUUGGGGAAAAAGUGUUGUCAUCUUGUUUGGUAAGAAUGAAAUCCUGCACCCACAGUGUGCCUUAGUGGAAUAGGUUGGGAACCCCUGCCCUAUGGAACACCAUAGCAGAAGCUUUGAGGGGAAAAGUUUUCAUUUGCCUAAAUGCUUAAGUUAUUAAGUGCAAUUUUUUUUUUUUUCCUUCAAAAACACUAUUUAUUCUGUGUUUCUGUGCGGUAUUAAUACUGUUGUCUUUUACUUAAGGCAUGGUCUAUUGUUUUUAGUUGUGAUUUCUUAAAAAGUAUUUUGAAUUUAAGAGUAAAUAUAAUUAAAUGAGUGUACUGGAUCUAUUAAUAUAUCCUGUAUUCUCACUGUGUUAUUGUAAAUUGGUUUUUAAAAAAAUGGGGAGGCGCAAUAAUAUCGCAUAUUGCAAUAAUUUAUGAGAUAAAUUAUCGCACACUAAAAUGUGUUAUCGCGACAAGCCUAACACCAGGCAUAUCUCUACUCUUGCCAUCGCUGGCACAAAAAAAAAAAAAAAAAAAAUCUAAUAUGUAGAAUAAAGAGGAAAAAUGUAACGACACUUGUGUAGCCCAAAGUAGCGGAGUAAGAGUAGCAUUUCGUUCUUCACAAAUCUACCCAAUUAAAAGUAAAAAAUAUAGCUUAAUAAAACUUGUAACGCGUGUCAGGUAGGAUGUAUGCACAAGAGUCACAAAAAAAGGGGACAGGCUUCCACUUGUGCAUUUUUACUAACCAAAAACAUAUAAAUCCACCUUGACCACUGGUUACUCGGGAGCUCAAUGGUCUGCGCACACGCGGUUGCAGAUAAACUCCAGCAAAAAGUGAGUAGUAACAGAAGAAGAGAGCUAUUCAAUAUGAAUAAGGCGGCGCCACCACCUUGUGGUGGAUGUCUUGAGAAAAGCCAUUUACAAAUUACUCUUUUACCCCCUUCCCACUGGCCAAAAAAAACGUGUCAACCCACUAACAAUCGGCUUUUGGCGGCAGUGGGAAAGGUGCAGCGACCCGCCUCGACCCGUGUCAAUCAACCCGCCAAGCGACCCGCGUUAAAAUCACCUCGGCUCUGAUCGUCAUGCAGUGUGAAAGCAAAACACCGGGUCAACAGUCAACACCCUAAUCUACGUGGUGACGUAGGCUCUUACGUGAUGCGUCAUAAGAACGUGCCAGUCGCCUCCCAUUUAACACGCCCCACAAACGUAGUUACGUCGAUGCGAACAACAAAGCUAGUUGAAGAAGAAGCAUUCACUUCGCCUACGUUGCCUCAGCACAAGCAGAGUGUUGAUCCUUUGCUGCAUUUCGACCAUUUUGAGGGCAGUAAAAAGCAUGCAAACAGAGAACACAAACGGAAAGGAGGCUUCCAUUUUGCUCUGCAUUGUUUACUUCCUUGAACUGAAUGAAUUCGGUCGCAUUUGUCGACGCGCAUCUUAGCGUGGUGACGUCAUGUAACUUUACGCACGGCUGAGGAGGGGUGGGGGGUUGGACGGGUGAAAAAAGAAAAAGAAAAAAAGACACGGCUUUUUUUGUCAAUGGGAAAGGUGCCAAAUGCCAAUUGCUAGUGGGUUGCCUCGGCUUGGAAAAAACACGCGUUGACCCACCAGUUUCAGCGGGAAAGGGGCAUUAGAAGUACAUUUUUCUGAAAAA